rnacentral:lncRNA from 1 species
CUCUCUCUCUCUCUCUCUCAGGUUAGUUUUUUUGUCUUUUUUUUUUUUUUUUUUUUAGGUUAGUUUAGGGGAUUAGAUUAGGUGGUUAGUUUAGGUUUGGAAUUUUAAGAGUUUAGGUUGUCAUGAUAGAUAAGACUUGGAAUUUAAAAAGUUUAGGCUGUGAUAGAUAGAUAAUUGUAAUUUAUAACUUUUUCUGAUUUAUAUAAUUCUAUAUAGGUUGCUCUGACAGUUGAGGCUGCACUAUUUGUUGCAGGUUAGACGGCAGACACUCAAAAUCAACCGUCCAUCAAGCCAGACUGAGGAACAGGAAACUGCAGACUUAGAGCGAACCAACGUCCGAGACUUUUACGGAGACAUGUUUCCCUAGUUUUUUUUUUAUGUAUAACAUUUAAUUUUCUCUAGUUUUUUUAUGUAAAACAUUAUGACUCUUUUAUUUAUGCAGUUUUUAAGUUCAGAAUUUUAAAUAAUUAUUUUUUAUAAUUUUAAAUUAAAAAUUAAAAUUAAUUUUUUAUUAAA